UACGUAGGGGGCAAGCGUUGUCCGGAUUUAUUGGGCGUAAAGAGCGUGUAGGCGGCUAGGUAGGUCCGUUGUGAAAACUCGAGGCUCAACCUCGAGACGUCGAUGGAAACCAUCUAGCUAGAGUCCGGAAGAGGAGAGUGGAAUUCCUGGUGUAGCGGUGAAAUGCGCAGAUAUCAGGAAGAACACCCGUGGCGAAGGCGGCUCUCUGGUACGUGACUGACGCUGAGACGCGAAAGCGUGGGGAGC
rnacentral:rRNA from 1 species